rnacentral:rRNA from 1 species
UAAGUGCAUCAGGCGGAUGCCUUGGCGAUGAUAGGCGACGAAGGACGUGUAAGCCUGCGAAAAGCGCGGGGGAGCUGGCAAUAAAGCUAUGAUUCCGCGAUGUCCGAAUGGGGAAACCCACUGCAUUCUGUGCAGUAUCCUAAGUUGAAUACAUAGGCUUAGAGAAGCGAACCCGGAGAACUGAACCAUCUAAGUACCCGGAGGAAAAGAAAUCAACCGAGAUUCCGCAAGUAGUGGCGAGCGAACGCGGAGGAGCCUGUACGUAAUAACUGUCGAGAUAGAAGAACAAGCUGGGAAGCUUGACCAUAGCGGGUGACAGUCCCGUAUUCGAAAUCUCAACAGCGGUACUAAGCGUACGAAAAGUAGGGCGGGACACGUGAAAUCCUGUCUGAAUAUGGGGGGACCAUCCUCCAAGGCUAAAUACUCAUCAUCGACCGAUAGUGAACCAGUACCGUGAGGGAAAGGCGAAAAGAACCCCGGGAGGGGAGUGAAACAGAACCUGAAACCUGAUGCAUACAAACAGUGGGAGCGCCCUAGUGGUGUGACUGCGUACCUUUUGUAUAAUGGGUCAACGACUUACAUUCAGUAGCGAGCUUAACCGGAUAGGGGAGGCGUAGGGAAACCGAGUCUUAAUAGGGCGAUGAGUUGCUGGGUGUAGACCCGAAACCGAGUGAUCUAUCCAUGGCCAGGUUGAAGGUGCCGUAACAGGUACUGGAGGACCGAACCCACGCAUGUUGCAAAAUGCGGGGAUGAGCUGUGGGUAGGGGUGAAAGGCUAAACAAACUCGGAGAUAGCUGGUUCUCCCCGAAAACUAUUUAGGUAGUGCCUCGAGCAAGACACUGAUGGGGGUAAAGCACUGUUAUGGCUAGGGGGUUAUUGCAACUUACCAACCCAUGGCAAACUCAGAAUACCAUCAAGUGGUUCCUCGGGAGACAGACAGCGGGUGCUAACGUCCGUUGUCAAGAGGGAAACAACCCAGACCGCCGGCUAAGGUCCCAAAUGAUAGAUUAAGUGGUAAACGAAGUGGGAAGGCACAGACAGCCAGGAUGUUGGCUUAGAAGCAGCCAUCAUUUAAAGAAAGCGUAAUAGCUCACUGGUCGAGUCGUCCUGCGCGGAAGAUGUAACGGGGCUCAAAUCUAUAACCGAAGCUGCGGAUGCCGGUUUACCGGCAUGGUAGGGGAGCGUUCUGUAGGCUGAUGAAGGUGCAUUGUAAAGUGUGCUGGAGGUAUCAGAAGUGCGAAUGUUGACAUGAGUAGCGAUAAAGCGGGUGAAAAGCCCGCUCGCCGAAAGCCCAAGGUUUCCUACGCAACGUUCAUCGGCGUAGGGUGAGUCGGCCCCUAAGGCGAGGCAGAAAUGCGUAGUCGAUGGGAAACAGGUUAAUAUUCCUGUACUUGAUUCAAAUGCGAUGUGGGGACGGAGAAGGUUAGGUUGGCAAGCUGUUGGAAUAGCUUGUUUAAGCCGGUAGGUGGAAGACUUAGGCAAAUCCGGGUUUUCUUAACACCGAGAAGUGAUGACGAGUGUCUACGGACACGAAGCAACCGAUACCACGCUUCCAGGAAAAGCCACUAAGCUUCAGUUUGAAUCGAACCGUACCGCAAACCGACACAGGUGGGCAGGAUGAGAAUUCUAAGGCGCUUGAGAGAACUCGGGAGAAGGAACUCGGCAAAUUGAUACCGUAACUUCGGGAGAAGGUAUGCCCUCUAAGGUUAAGGACUUGCUCCGUAAGCCCCGGAGGGUCGCAGAGAAUAGGUGGCUGCGACUGUUUAUUAAAAACACAGCACUCUGCCAACACGAAAGUGGACGUAUAGGGUGUGACGCCUGCCCGGUGCCGGAAGGUUAAUUGAAGAUGUGCAAGCAUCGGAUCGAAGCCCCGGUAAACGGCGGCCGUAACUAUAACGGUCCUAAGGUAGCGAAAUUCCUUGUCGGGUAAGUUCCGACCCGCACGAAUGGCGUAACGAUGGCCACACUGUCUCCUCCCGAGACUCAGCGAAGUUGAAGUGGUUGUGAAGAUGCAAUCUACCCGCUGCUAGACGGAAAGACCCCGUGAACCUUUACUGUAGCUUUGCAUUGGACUUUGAAGUCACUUGUGUAGGAUAGGUGGGAGGCUUGGAAGCAGAGACGCCAGUCUCUGUGGAGUCGUCCUUGAAAUACCACCCUGGUGUCUUUGAGGUUCUAACCCAGACCCGUCAUCCGGGUCGGGGACCGUGCAUGGUAGGCAGUUUGACUGGGGCGGUCUCCUCCCAAAGCGUAACGGAGGAGUUCGAAGGUUACCUAGGUCCGGUCGGAAAUCGGACUGAUAGUGCAAUGGCAAAAGGUAGCUUAACUGCGAGACCGACAAGUCGGGCAGGUGCGAAAGCAGGACAUAGUGAUCCGGUGGUUCUGUAUGGAAGGGCCAUCGCUCAACGGAUAAAAGGUACUCCGGGGAUAACAGGCUGAUUCCGCCCAAGAGUUCAUAUCGACGGCGGAGUUUGGCACCUCGAUGUCGGCUCAUCACAUCCUGGGGCUGUAGUCGGUCCCAAGGGUAUGGCUGUUCGCCAUUUAAAGUGGUACGUGAGCUGGGUUUAAAACGUCGUGAGACAGUUUGGUCCCUAUCUGCAGUGGGCGUUGGAAGUUUGACGGGGGCUGCUCCUAGUACGAGAGGACCGGAGUGGACGAACCUCUGGUGUACCGGUUGUAACGCCAGUUGCAUAGCCGGGUAGCUAAGUUCGGAAGAGAUAAGCGCUGAAAGCAUCUAAGCGCGAAACUCGCCUGAAGAUGAGACUUCCCUUGCGGUUUAACCGCACUAAAGGGUCGUUCGAGACCAGGACGUUGAUAGGUGGGGUGUGGAAGCGCGGUAACGCGUGAAGCUAACCCAUACUAAUUGCCCGUGAGGCUUGACUCUAU